CAUGGAGUCGCACCUGGACACCCCGUACAAUGUCCCCGACAUCGUGGUGACCAUCGCCAACAACGACAUCGACCUUGUGAUCAGGUAACACAGUGUCACCAAUGUCCCCAAUGUCCCCAAAUGUCCCUGAACUAUCCCCAAUGUCCCCAAUGUCCCCCCAAUGUCCAUCGCCAACAACGACAUCGACCUGGUCAUCAGGUACGGGGUCAUCAGUGUCCCCAAUGUCACCAAUGUCCCUGAACUGUCCCCAAUGUCCAUCGCCAACAACGACAUCGACCUCGUCAUACGGUAACGGUGUCACCAGGGUCACCAAAUGUCCCCAAUGUCCCCAAAGUGUCCCCAGUGUCCCCAAUGUCCCCAAUGUCCAUCGCCAACAACGACAUCGACCUCGUCAUCAGGUACGGGGACACUGCAGGGUGACCAGUGUCACCAAUGUCCCCAAGUGUCCCCAAAGUGUCCCUGAACUGUCCCCAAUGUCCCCAAACUGUCCCCAAUGUCCAUCGCCAACAACGACAUCGACCUGGUCAUCAGGUAUGGGGUCAUCAGUGUCCCCAAUGUCCCCAAAUGUCCCCCCAAAUGUCCCCAAUGUCCAUCGCCAACAACGACAUCGACCUCGUCAUCAGGUACGGGGACACCAAUGUCCCCAAUGUCCCUGAACUGUCCCCAAUGUCCCCAAUGUCCCCAAUGUCCAUCGCCAACAACGACAUCGACCUGGUCAUCAGGUAACCCAGUGUCACUGAACUGUCACCAAUGUCACCAAUGUCCCCAAAUGUCCCCAAUGUCCCCAAAUGUCCCCAAUGUCCCCAAUGUCCAUCGCCAACAACGACAUCGACCUGGUCAUCAGGUACAGUGUCACUGAACUGUCACCAAAUGUCCCCAAAGUGUCCCCAAUGUCCCCAAGGUGUCCCCAAUGUCCCCACAGUGUCACUGAACUGUCCCCAAUGUCCCCAAAGUGUCCCCAAUGUCCCCAAUGUCCCCAAAGUGUCCCCAAUGUCCCCAGUGUCCAUCGCCAACAACGACAUCGACCUCGUCAUCAGGUACGGGGUGACCAAUGUCCUCAAUGUCCCCAAUGUCCCCCACUGUCCCCAGUGUCUCAGAUGUCCCCAAAUGUCCCCUCUCAGGAUCUCAGACCGUGGCAGUGGCGUCUCCCACGACCUACUGGACAAACCCGGUGUCCCC
rnacentral:lncRNA from 1 species